AUUGAACGCUGGCGGCAUGCCUUACACAUGCAAGUCGAACGGUAACGCGGGGCAACCUGGCGACGAGUGGCGAACGGGUGAGUAAUGCAUCGGAACGUACCCAGUAGUGGGGGAUAGCCCGGCGAAAGCCCGGAUUAAUACCGCAUACGACCUAAGGGUGAAAGCGGGGGACCGUAAGGCCUCGCGCUAUUGGAGCGGCCGAUGUCAGAUUAGGUAGUUGUGGGGUAAUGGCCUACCAAGCCGACGAUCCCAUAGCNGGUUUGAGAGGAUGAUCAGCCACACUGGGACCCGAGACACGGCCCAGACUCCUACGGGAGGCAGCAGUGGGGAAUCUUAGACAAUGAGGGCAACCCUGAUCUAGCCAUGCCGCGUGAGUGAUGAAGGCCCUAGGGUUGUAAAGCUCUUUCAGCUGGGAAGAUAAUGACGGUACCAGCAGAAGAAGCCCCGGCUAACUCCGUG
rnacentral:rRNA from 1 species